rnacentral:rRNA from 1 species
UACAGAGGUCUCAAGCGUUGUUCGGAUUCAUUGGGCGUAAAGGGUGCGUAGGUGGCGCGCUAAGUCGGGUGUGAAAUCCCGGGGCUUAACCUCGGGACUGCAUUCGAUACUGGCGUGCUUGAGGACUGGAGAGGAGACUGGAAUUCAUGGUGUAGCAGUGAAAUGCGUAGAGAUCAUGAGGAAGACCAGUGGCGAAGGCGGGUCUCUGGACAGUUCCUGACACUGAGACACGAAGGCCAGGGGAGCAAACGGG